AGUUUGAUCAUGGCUCAGAACGAACGCUGGCGGCAGGCCUAACACAUGCAAGUCGAGCGCGCCUUCGGGCGAGCGGCGGACGGGUUAGUAACGCGUGGGAACGUGCCCAGAUCUACGGAAUAGCCACUGGAAACGGUGAGUAAUACCGUAUACGCCCUUAGGGGGAAAGAUUUAUCGGAUUUGGAUCGGCCCGCGUUAGAUUAGGUAGUUGGUGGGGUAACGGCCUACCAAGCCUACGAUCUAUAGCUGGUUUUAGAGGAUGAUCAGCAACACUGGGACUGAGACACGGCCCAGACCCCUACGGGAGGCAGCAGUGGGGAAUCUUGGACAAUGGGGGCAACCCUGAUCCAGCCAUGCCGCGUGAGUGAAGAAGGCCCUAGGGUCGUAAAACUCUUUCGCCUGUGAUGAUAAUGACAGUAACAGGUAAAGAAACCCCGGCUAACUCCGUGCCAGCAGCCGCGGUAAUAC
rnacentral:rRNA from 1 species